rnacentral:rRNA from 1 species
UACGUAGGAGACGAGCGUUGUCCGGAAUCACUGGGCGUAAAGCGCGUGUAGGCGGAUGGGCAAGUCUGCUGUGAAAGCUCCUGGCUUAACCGGGAGUGGUCGGUGGAAACUGCCAAUCUGGAGGACGGUAGAGGUAGGUAGAAUUCCCGGUGUAGUGGUGAAAUGCGUAGAGAUCGGGAGGAACACCCAGGGGGAAACCAGUCGACUGGGCAGCACCUGACGCUGAGGUGCGAGAGCGUGGGGAGCGAACGGG